AAGUCGUAACAAGGUUUCCGUAGGUGAACCUGCGGAAGGAUCAUUAUCGUAGGGCUUCGGCCCUUGCGAGGUAGGACCCUUGACUUUUUGAGUACCGUACGUUUCCUCGGCAGGCUCGCCUGCCAAUGGGGACCUCCAAAACCUCUUCUGUAAUGAGUAGUAUACUUGUCUGAUAACAAAUAAAAUAUAUCAAAACUUUCAACAAUGGAUCUCUUGGUUCUG
rnacentral:misc_RNA from 1 species